rnacentral:rRNA from 1 species
GACGAACGCUGGCGGCGUGCUUAACACAUGCAAGUCGAACGGUUAAGCGCCUUCCUUUUUGGUGGGUGUGGAUGAGUGGCGAACGGGUGAGUAACACGUGAGUAACCUGCCCCCUUCUUCUGGAUAACCGCAUGAAAGAGUGGCUAAUACGGGAUAUUCUGGGUCUGUCGCAUGAUGGGUCUGGGCACGAUAUUGUUUCGGUGGGGGAUGGGCUCGCGGCCUAUCAGCUUGUUGGUGGGGUGAUGGCCUACCAAGGCGGUGAGGGGUAGCCGGCCUGGGAGGGUGGGCGGCCACAGUGCGGAGGAGACACCGAGCAGACUCCGACGGGAGGCAGCAGGGGGUAUUAUUGAACAAGGGGCGGAAUGAUGCUGCAGCGCCGCGGGGGGGGGGAUGGAGUCCGGCUGGUUGAGAACCUCUUGUGGGAGGGAAGCAGGCCUGCUUCAUUUGUUGGUGGGUUGACGGUAGCUGGAUAAGAAGCGCCGGCUAACUACGUG